rnacentral:tRNA from 1 species
AGGAGCUAACUUAUAUUUUUAAAGUGUUAGAUUUUUAAUCUGAAGAAGGUUUGGCCGCUUUUCG